rnacentral:tRNA from 1 species
UCCCGCGUAGCUCAGUGGCAGAGCGUCCGACUGUUAAUCGGAUGGUCGCUGGUUCGAAUCCAGCCGCGGGAGCCG